UACGUAGGGUGCAAGCGUUAUCCGGAUUUACUGGGUUUAAAGGGUGCGUAGGUGGGUUGGUAAGUCAGUGGUGAAAUACUUUCGCUUAACGAAGGAACUGCCAUUGAUACUACCAGUCUUGAAUACAGUGGAGGUAGGCGGAAUGCGUCAUGUAGCGGUGAAAUGCUUAGAUAUGACGCAGAACACCAAUUGCGAAGGCAGCUUGCUACACUGUUAUUGACACUGAGGCACGAAAGCGUGGGGAUCAAACAGG
rnacentral:rRNA from 1 species